rnacentral:lncRNA from 1 species
UGUGUAAAAUCAUACAAGUGUUCGGUAAACAGGAAGUUGUCAAGUGAUCAAUCUGAAAACGCAUCACACGGUAUAGCUGACUUAUAUAAACCCUGAAACCAAAUUUCAGAAAUCCUUGUAUUGUAGUUCCUGAGAAAAAUGCAACGAAAAAUAUUCAUGGGACGGACGGACAGACAGAGGUAAAACAGUAUACCCCCCUUUUAAAAAAAAUAAAAAUUCAAUUUUCAUUAGGUCAAAUUGGUCAACAUAUGAAUUGUAUUUGAAAUUUUCUAACAGACUUUAAUUUUGAAUCUCUGUUCUUUGCAGAUUGUUUUCAUUGAUAUCAGUGAUCUUCCUAUUAAAUACUUAAACUGCACAUGUACAAAUGUAUGUUAUUACACAACAAAAGAUAAUUCGUUUAUUUUUUUAUAACUCAAUCUUAGUAUAAGAAUAAUCUUAAACAAGAAAAAACAUCAACACGUUAAAUGACAUUGUAGAUUGUUACUGUAAAAGGCCAGGGUGCAUGCACCAGAACAAAAGGUAAGGCAUAAAAACAACUGUGAAAAUGGUAAUGAGCAUCAUGAAAAAAAAAGUAUUUGAGCUGGACCUUUGAAAACAGAUGAAAUGAAAUAACGAUAUAGGACAAUCUCCUUUAGUCAGUUUAGUGUCAGUCCACAAAAAAGAAUUAUACCAAUUGCCUGAAAAUUCUAUAUAAAGAUUCCUGCAUUUAAGAGUAAUAUCCACAUUCAAAUGUUCAAAAUUUUCAGAUUCUAAUUUCCACAAUAAAAAAAAACAAUGGAUCAUUUCAUCAAUCUUGAAAGCAAAAUACCACACAGAUUAAGGACACAGGGCAUAUCUUAAUCUUUUUUGCUUUUAUUUAACACUUUAAAACAAUUAAACUAAAACCAGUUUCAAGACAAGACCAGAUAAUUUCACAAUUAAAUUUUCAAAUACAUGGGAAAUAUGUCCAAUAAUACUUUCUUCCUGGUAAAAGUUCAAUCAAAUCCUUAAUAAGUAUACACUUUAACAACACCAUGACCAUGUGAGACUUCAAGUUUUUUUUUCUCCAAAAUACUUAAUAUUCUUAAAUAUAGAAUUGAUAAGCAUGUGAUGAAGAGGUCAUUUUCUGAAAUGAAGGUUUUCUAAAAAACAAAGAAAUUUAAGCAAUUUUUUUGAAAAAGAGAAUCUCCCAGAUGAAAUUUAUUUUGGGGCUUGCAUUUCCUAUUAAGUUAUCCUUGAUAGAGGGUUGCUGCUUAUAAGCACACUAAUUGGUUUGAAUGAUAAAGUUGAAAUCAUUUCUUUGAAAGAUUUGGGAAGCCAUCAUGAUUUGGUUGACAGUUAUGCAGUACCUGUGGCACAGAUGAUCACAUGUAUGCUCCAUAGCAACAACACAUUCCCCUUUAAGGUGGUAUGGGAGUCUAAAUUAAAAAUGAUAGAAUUUGUUCAUACUUUGCCAAAAUGUAGUAUCUAUUGAUAUAUGUUCAAAAAUAUAAUAAAAAUGAUAGGUCACCGCGCAUUUUCUCAAGUUACAAGUCAUGACAAAAUGACACAUUUCGUAUGGAUUAUACAGGAAAAAACAGCAUUAUGUGAUUAGAAGCUAAACUAAAUAUAGAAUUGUAAAAUAAAAUACGAGAAGAUAGCUUUUAAAAAAUGGUUUGAGAAUAUUAAAAGAAAAGAUAGGGUCACUGCGUUUUUUCCAUCUAGAAUUCAAAAUAGCAAAAUUCCAUGUAGAUUCCUUCUUAAAAUGCACUUUUUCAGAGUUACCUCCCCUUAAAAUGCAAUUUCAAAAAAUAUAAAAAAAAUCAAGCUAAAAUAAUUUACACUGGUAAAAAUAUUAAUUAUUAUAAGUUAUAAUCUCAUAAAUUCCUUCUUUUUAAUUCAAAUUCACAUUUGUUUACUGCAUUCCUGUUCAAAUUUUACUAACUUGAUUGAAAAUCUGGACCUUAGAUUCUCUGUUUUCCACAAUCAAAGAUGGCAAAAGACACUCAUACCACCUUAAAGAGAUUAUGCAACUUAUAACUAAACUCUUACUUGCAGUGAAUGUUCAGGAGUGGAGCAGGACGUAGUAUUUUGGAGCACCUGUUUUUAACCCUGGUUUUUGGUGUUUCGAGUUCUAGUUUUCUGUGUAGAGUUUUGUGGACUUGUUUGACUUUUGUAAUUCUUUUCUUGGUUAUUGACUGAGAUUUUUCUGACUAAUGGUUAUGAUUUCCACCUUAGUUUUAUGAAGCACAAUUGAUUCCAAACGGGUACAAGUUACAAAUAUCUGACUCCAGCUUCACACUGGGAAACACACAGCAUUACACUGUGAAACAAUGUAAAAUUGAAUUAUUAAUCCUUAUUUUACUCAAAUAUUAACUAAUGAAUGCAUGAUUAUAAAUGAUAAUUAUAUGUAAUGGAGUAUCAACAAUAAACAAAGAACUUAAAAAUACAUUCACUUUAAAGUUGAUCUCAUUCUUAAUCACUUGACACCUCUCUAUAUUAAAAGUAUCUAUUAUAAGUAUCAGCCGCUCUUUUCACCAAAAAAUCUUUGGAAUAAAAUACUAUCAAGCCAUAUACAUUUCAGUAUUACUUUUGAUCAAUUUUAAUCAUAAGAUUUUUUGGUAAAAAGAGUCGCAGGCUACAUGUUUGACAACAGUGAGGACAACUGUUACAUACAUGUAUUAAUACAGGUUUUCGUAUUAUUUAAACAUUUUCAAUUUUAACUUUCUUAUCAAAGCAUUUUACUGAGGUCUAAUGUCAUCCACCUCGAUCGUUUUAUAGCUUAAUUAUCUCAGUGUAUAUUGGUACUUAGAACACAAUUUAAAGUUGGUUGAUUUCUUAAGUUUACUUCUUUAUAAGUUAUACUAAUUAUAUAUAAUCAAUAAUUGUUGGACCUGUUUCUAUUGAUAGUGUCAUGAUUUGAUUUGGGACAGGGGGGAAGAUAAAGCUUAAAAGCCAAAAAAAUUAUAAACAUUAGGUGAUUAUUCUUUAUUAGUUUUAUCUUUUCAGUUUAAAACUUGAACAUUAUAUCUGAUAGAUAGGAUCAAGUUUCCUUAUCCAUUAAAAUGAAAGGGGAAAAAAAUGUUUUUUCACAUAUUCAUUACUCAUUGUAAAAUAUAAGAACAUAUUUUUUUUU